GACGAACGCUGGCGGCGUGCUUAACACAUGCAAGUCGAACGGAAAGGCCCUGCUUGCAGGGUGCUCGAGUGGCGAACGGGUGAGUAACACGUGGGUGAUCUGCCCCUUACUUUGGGAUAAGCCAGGGAAACUGGGUCUAAUACUGGAUAGGACCAUGCUGUAGGUGGUGUGGUGGAAAGAUUAGUUUCGGUAAGGGAUGAGCUCGCGGCCUAUCAGCUUGUUGGUGGGGUAAUGGCCUACCAAGGCGUCGACGGGUAGCCGGCCUGAGAGGGUGGACGGCCACAUUGGGACUGAGAGACGGCCCAGACUCCUACGGGAGGCAGCAGUGGGGAAUAUUGCACAAUGGGCGCAAGCCGGAUGCAGCGACGCCGCGUGGGGGAUGACGGCCUUCGGGUUGUAAACUCCUUUCAGCCAUGACGAAGCCCUUGUGGUGACGGUAGUGGUAGAAGAAGCACCGGCUAACUACGUG
rnacentral:rRNA from 1 species